UACGUAGGGCGCAAGCGUUAUCCGGAAUUAUUGGGCGUAAAGAGCGUGUAGGCGGCCCGGUAAGUCCGCUGUGAAAGCCGGGGGCUCAACCCUCGAAAGCCGGUGGAUACUGUCGGGCUAGAGUGCGGAAGAGGCGAGUGGAAUUCCCGGUGUAGCGGUGAAAUGCGCAGAUAUCGGGAGGAACACCUAUGGCGAAGGCAGCACGCUGGGACGUUACUGACGCUGAGACGCGAAAGCGAGGGGAGCAAACAGG
rnacentral:rRNA from 1 species